rnacentral:rRNA from 1 species
GACGAACGCUGGCGGCGUGCUUAACACAUGCAAGUCGAGCGGAAAGGCCACGUCGGUGGUACUCGAGCGGCGAACGGGUGAGUAACACGUGAGUAAUCUGCCCUUGGCUUUGGGAUAGCCACCGGAAACGGUGAUUAAUACCGGAUAUGACCACUUCACGAAUGUGAUGGUGGUGGAAAGUUUUUCGGCCAGGGAUGGUCUCGCGGCCUAUCAGCUUGAUGGUGAGGGAAUGGUUCACCAUGGCAUCGGCGGGUAGCCGGCCUGAGAGGGUGAACGGUCACACUGGGACUGAGAGACGGCGCAGACGCCUACGGGGGGCAGCAGUGGGGAAUAUUGGACAAUGGGCGGAAGCCUGAUCCAGCGACGCCGCGUGAGGAAUGACGGCCUUCGGGUUGUAAACCUCUUUCGCCUAUGACGAAGCGCAAGUGACGGUAAUAGGUAAAGAAGCACCGGCCAACUACGUGCCAGCCGCCGCAGUAA